rnacentral:tRNA from 1 species
AGGAGUGUAGCUAAAUAGCAGAGCAUGUGCUUAGCAAGUAUGAGACCCUGGGUUCAAUCCCUAGCACCUA